CUCGUAAUGAACUCAUUGGGGACGGUGGGUUUUUUUCCCAUCGGCCCUCGACGCUUGGAUCGCACGGGCGCCUCGAGCGCUCGAGCUUUCUUGGCGGCACAACGAACCCCGGCGCGGAAUGCGCCAAGGAACUCGAACAAGAGAGCGGUGCUCCCAUCACCCCAGACACGGUGCGUGUGUGGGACACCAAGCGAUCUCCUUAUUAUUCAUAACGACUCUCGACAACGGAUAUCUCGGCUCUCGCAUCGAUGAAGAACGUAGCGAACUGCGAUACUUGGUGUGAAUUGCAGAAUCCCGUGAACCAUCGAGUCUUUGAACGCAAGUUGCGCCUGAAUCCAUUUGGACGAGGGCACGUUUGCCUGGGUGUCACACAUGGCGUUGCCCCUAACACUUCGCCUUGAAUUGGGCAGGAGUCGGGUGCGUAUGUUGGCCUCCCGCGAUGACUUCGUCCCGGUUGGCCGAAAAUCGAGCGUUGGAGCAAUUAGCACCACGACAUUCGGUGGUUGAUGAGACCCCAAUGAUCAAUGUCGUGCAGGUUGCUCGUGGAAGCGCUCCACGAAUCUACUUUUUACCAACGCGACCCCAGGUCAAGCGGGGCUACCCGCU
rnacentral:rRNA from 1 species